UGUCACAUAGGUGCAAUCGAUUGUCAUGCACGCUUUCUUGAAUUAUUUUGAGACAAGAUCCUUCAAAUUUUUUAGGAAAUCAAUUGACAGGUUUAUGCAAUCGAUUGUCAUUGGGAAAACUUUCAAUUUUUUUAUCAAAUUCUGGUACAAUCAAAUUGCUUUUCUCUCCAGUAUAAAAGCUAAAUAUACAUUCCCUCUUGUAACAAGCCCUAGCCGGCCCAUUUUUCAGAAACUUCUCUCUCUCAAAGGCAAAAGAGGCACUACGUUUUCUACCAAAAGCUUCACUCUUUCAAAAUUCAUCUUCUCAAAUUUUCUCAAGGCUCCAUUAAAGGUUUGAUUACUUUCUUCUUCAAAGUUGUCUCUCUUAAAUAAAGGAAAGGAAAAUGCCUCCUCUUCAAACUCAAGGUCUUCACUAAUGAAGGUGUCAAGGCUUGUACCUUCUUCCAAACAAAGACAGCGAUUUAUGGAUUUUUUUCAAAAAAAAUACUCUCAUUGCACCAAGAAAAGGAAAAAGAUUGCUGAAAAGCUUCAUGAAUGCAACUCAUGGUCAACAUGUAUCCUUACAAUAGAUGGUCAACUGAUACAUUAUUAUCAAGCUUAUGUACUGGUACCGAAGUUCUUGAAUCAUUCUCUUACCGCUUACACUAAAAUGCAACUUCUAUAUGCUAUAAAGAACAAUCAUCAAGUCAACUGGCCAUAUGUGAUUUUGCAUCAUAUGGAAAAUCAAAAUGAGUUUUCAAAAGGCCUACCUUAUGAUUAUUUUAUAUCAAUAGUUUUUAGAAGGUGCAACAUGAAUAUUACAAAUGAUAAUCGUGUCGAAAUGCAUCUUCCUGAAUAUCACAUUACUCCAAAACUCUGCAACAGUAAGAUGGGAGUUCAGUAUGACCCAAUUUCUAAAACUAUCAAGUAUAUUGAUUAUGAAACAUAAUAACCCUCCACUCCUCCUCCUCCUCCUCAAUAACCUGCAGAUGUUGCUCCCUUAAAACAAGAUGUUAUUGAUGUUGUGAAUCAAGGAUUUGCAAGGAUGGAUCUUAACUUUUGUUUUAUGCGAGAAGAAUUUGGAAGGCGUUCUACAAGAAUGGAUCACCUUAAAUCUUAUCAUAGUGAAGAGAGACCAUAUGACAUGAAACAAGACUAAGAUUUGACUUUGUUUUUUCUAUUCUCUGAAUUGUUCUUUUUAUCUUUCAAGUACUAUGUUUGAUGUUUUUGUAUUUCUUGAAUUACGUUUCAAGUACUUUAAAUAGUGUUUUUGUAUUGUUUGACUGAUGUUGGUUUGACUUCUAUUUGGUUAAGUUGAAGUUUCAUUAUGAAUGUUUGAAUCUUGUAUGGCUUUAUUAUAUUUUGAUGUUUCACCCAUCUUUCCCUUCUUUUUGAUAAUGUCAAAAGGGGGAGAAGGAUGAAUAUAUGUUUGUGAUUCAUUGUUUCUAUCUUCAUCUAGGUUCUUGACAAUGAAGAAUUAAAGAAUCUUGAAGUAAGGGGGGGUUACUUAUCCUUGGGGGAGUUUUCCAGAAAUUACACAAACAUCAUAUAUGGAUUUGUCAUUAUCAAAAGGGGAAGAUUGCGAAGAUAAUGUUUUGAUAAAGACGAAUAUGUGGAAAGAAGGUUAAGAUUGUGUAUGUUCAAGUCAAGCUAAAGAUGUCAAGCUUCAAUGAAUGUUUUUGAUCAAGAUCAAAUUUUUAUUACAAAGGAUUGAAUGAUUAUCAAGUUACAAAUAUGUAAUUCAUCAUCUAUGUACUAUAAGUGCUCAAGCAUAUUCAUCUAAAAUCAUUCAUUAAGUUUUCAAAA